UCUAAGGAAAUGAGAUCACCACACAAGAAGCAAUUUGAAGCUGGUGUUAUUUUAAGUUUCUAUUUUCCUUAAGAAAUUCUACUUUGAUUUUUUUUUUUUGCUUAGGCUUUGCUGAAAUGCUGCCCUUGUUCCUCAGAGGAGAUGUGGCAAUUCUUAGUUAAAAGUAACUUUUCAAGUCAUGCUCCUUAACCCGAAUGUCACAACAAAACAAGAUGACCUCUUUAUAGCUGAUUUCCCAUCCAUGGUGAUGUUGCACCAGGACUCUUUUUUCCAGCACCUUUUAUCAUAGCUGGAAUAGUUCAAACAUCUUCUUGUUUUGAAAGUUUGGUCAUGAUUCUUCUCUAAUUGCUAAUAAUAGAUGCUCUCUGACUAUCCUCUUUGUCAAGGGAUUUAAAAAUAGAUUAAAAAUUAUAUAGAUUUAAAAUGAAUUAAAACAGAUUUUAACAAUCAAACAGAUUUUAAAGAUUUAUUCUUUGGCAGCCGUGCUCUGAAGGAGAGGCUGUGAUGCUUCACCUGUGUGGCAGAGCCUGAGCCUGAGAGAAGCUAAUGAAGAGAGAGAAAAGGCAGAAGAACCUGUCCAAUGAUGUUUAUACUUAAACCUGGUUCACCUAUUUAUGAUAACCUCGUACUUGUAGAUGGAAAUUGCUGGAGAGGAGAACAGAAAUGAUGGAGGGGACUGGAAGUCAGUGCAGGUCAUGGAGAGCAUCAGCUCUGAGGGAAAAGAGGGAGAAGAGCUGAUUUUGGAGGUGCCCAAAUAUAAGAAAUUAGAAGGUGACAAGCCAUAAGAAAUUAGAAGGUGACAAGCCAUAAGAAAUUAGAAGGUGACGAGCCAUAAGAAGUAGAACUGGACUGGAGGUGCUGAGAUGAGCGUGGGAGGAGAAGCCCAGAGCUGUGUCCACAGGAUGAAAAGGCUGUUUGGAAUGGGUGUUCUACUGUGGAUGAGACAAAGACCUCAGCCCCGCUCAGCUCUGCUUUUUAGCAGCCUCCAUCAGGUCUUCUCUCAUGUGAAAGAUGAAUUGUCAGACUGGGGGACUUCAAGGAUCCCACGGCAGUUUUGCAAGAGGAUUGUGUCAUCUCUCCCUCCAAGGAUCCUCCCCUCCAUCCUGAAGCUCGUUCUGCAAGAUGAUUUAUUAACUAGGAGAAUAUAUUUUACCAUUUUAUGAUGAACACGAGUUAUAUGGACAUGGCAUAAUUUGCUGAAAGCCACUCUGCAGAGGUGACAUAACAAGAAAUGCCCAGCUCUGGACUCCAUCAGUUUCCUUGCUCAAGAACUCAGACUGAAACUUCCUGGUACUCCUCAGCCCACGACAACAAUCAGCCCCGUGCAAAGAGGGAAAGCACCCCUGAAAACCCACAAGGGCAUCCCUGCCUACCCAGCAAGGCUGAGACAAGGAGAGAACAUUUAUUUGUCUGCAAAGUCACCUUGACUCAGUGCUCAUCGGACAACACACAGGUGUCCAAGGUAUGACAGUGCUCCUA